UUUUUCUCUCUCGCGGGUGGCGUGACGACUUGCCGUCGUGGCGCCCGUGCCCGACGGCCCGGCGAGGCGGCGACCGCUUGCGGCUUCGGCCGCGGCUGUCUGACUGGUGGGGUGCGGCAGUUCUUCGGUCCCACCAGUCAGCCACUUCCACACUUUUACUCUAGGUUAGGUUAGUCGGGUGGGCCCAGCCCAAACAUUCUCCCCAACAAAGAGGUGGCGGCGCGGCAGAGGGCGGCGUCGGUGACCCGGCUGGCGCGCGGAGAUGGCGGCUGGCACGGCAUCCCUUCCUCAGGAGCUUCGAUGCACGACAGCGUGCGGCCAGAGGAGGGGCUUGGCCGAGCGGCGGCGGGCGUGGCGGAGGGGGUGAGGCAGCUCCAGGCCCUCCUGCGCCGGCUGCUCCUCCCUGCAGCUCCGCAGUGGCCUCCCCGCAGCAGUCUACCGCCUGCUCACUGUGCUGGAGAAGUUCCUGCAGGAGGACUGAGUGGUGGUCGCCGCCCCUCCACAUGUUGGAUCUUAACCUCAAUGAGGAGUUGCAGGAGCAGGUGGUGACUGUGCGAUAUGGUGCAUCCAUCUGGACAAUUGCUCCAGACUAGAUGCUGCAUUUGCUCAGGUUCUUGUGCAUCCAUCUGGACAAUGGCAGUCAGGCAGUCAAUGCUGGGAGGAUUAUACUGCAUUUCAGGGAGUAUCUCAAGUUUGUUAUAGAAGCUGAAAGGGAGGGCAUUGGUGAAUGAUGGGGUAAUGGUUGAUGCACUGAGAUGAGGCCUACAGUUUAAGAAUAUGUGUUUCAAGUCUGGUGUCAAUUUUGGAGAAAUGAUAAUGUUUGUUCCUAGUAUUUUCUGCUGGCUGCACUCAUGCAAGAUAGAGUUCAGCACACUUUUCUUGCUGAUCUAGACAAAAGUGGACUACCAGAAAAAUAUCUGUGUGAUCGUAGAAGAAGAAUUAUGGAUGAACUUGGAUGUAAAGGUGUCCCCAACAUGUGUAAAUAUUAUGCCUCUAGUCUCACACACAAAUUUCAAUCCAGCUUACAGAUCCUUCCAUCCAAAUCUUCACUUUUAACUAUAGUUAGUGCAGUGCAACAACUCUGUAUUUACAUGUCUUAAAUGCAGAAAUGCUGAGCUUACAUUCUUCUCAUGUUGUACCAAGAUUGAAUGUUUAGGAAGUGAAGGAUCACUUGACGGAAUAAAUGCACUACUUGUCUGUCCUUUCCACCUAGUCUC